GAUGAACGCUGGCGGCGUGCUUAACACAUGCAAGUCGAACGGAAAGGCCCAAGCUUGCUUGGGUGCUCGAGUGGCGAACGGGUGAGUAACACGUGGGUGAUCUGCCCUGCACUUUGGGAUAAGCCUGGGAAACUGGGUCUAAUACCGGAUAGGACCAUCGUUUAGUGUCGGUGGUGGAAAGUUUUUCGGUGUGGGAUGAGCUCGCGGCCUAUCAGCUUGUUGGUGGGGUAAUGGCCUACCAAGGCGUCGACGGGUAGCCGGCCUGAGAGGGUGUACGGCCACAUUGGGACUGAGAGACGGCCCAGACUCCUACGGGAGGCAGCAGUGGGGAAUAUUGCACAAUGGGCGCAAGCCUGAUGCAGCGACGCCGUGUGGGGGAUGACGGCCUUCGGGUUGUAAACUCCUUUCGCCAAGGACGAAGCGUUUUGUGACGGUACUUGGAGAAGAAGCACCGGCUAACUACGUG
rnacentral:rRNA from 1 species